AUUGAACGCUGGCGGCAGGCCUAAAACAUGCAAGUCGAGCGAGCGGCGGACGGGUGAGUAAUGCCUGGGAAUUGCCCAGUCGAGGGGGAUAACAGUUGGCAAAGACCGCUAAUCCCGCAUACUAUUGGCUUGGCAAGGUGGGAUUAGCUUGUUGGUGAGGUAAGGGCUCACCAAGGCGACGAGCCCUAGCUGGUCUGCGAGGAUGAUCAGCCACACUGGAACUGAGACACGGUCCAGACUCCUACGGGAGGCAGCAGUGGGGAAUAUUGCACAAUGGGGGAAACCCUGAUGCAGCCAUGCCGCGUGUGUGAAGAAGGCCUUCGGGUUGUAAAGCACUUUCAGCGAGGAGGCGUUACUCGCAGAAGAAGCACCGGCUAACUCCGUGCCAGCAGCCGCGGUAAUUC
rnacentral:rRNA from 1 species